rnacentral:rRNA from 1 species
UAACGCGUGGGAAUCUGCCCUUAGGUACGGAAUAACUCAGGGAAACUUGAGCUAAUACCGUAUAAUGACUCCGGUCCAAAGAUUUAUCGCCUGAGGAUGAGCCCGCGUCGGAUUAGCUAGUUGGUGAGGUAAGAGCUCACCAAGGCGACGAUCCGUAGGUGGUCUGAGAGGAUGAUCAGCCACACUGGGACUGAGACACGGCCCAGACUCCUACGGGAGGCAGCAGUGGGGAUUAUUGGACAAUGGGCGAAAGCCUGAUCCAGCAAUGCCCUGCCUAUGAAGGCCUUAGGGUUGU